UUCGGGGUUAGUGGCGGACGGGUGAGUAACACGUGGGAAUGUGCCCUUAGGUUCGGAACAACACAGGGGAAACUUGUGCUAAUACCGGAUGUGCCCUUCGGGGGGAAGAUUUAUUGCCUUUGGAGCAGCCCGCGUCUGAUUAGCUUGUUGGUGAGGUAAAGGCUCACCAAGGCUACGAUCAGUAGCUGGUCUGAGAGGAUGGCCAGCCACAUUGGGACUGAGACACGGCCCAAACUCCUACGGGAGGCAGCAGUGGGGAAUCUUGCGCAAUGGGCGAAAGCCUGACGCAGCCAUGCCGCGUGGAUGAUGAAGGUCUUAGGAUUGUAAAAUCCUUUCACCGGGGACGAUAAUGACGGUACCCGGAGAAGAAGCCCCGGCUAACUUCGUGCCAGCAGCCGCGGUAAUACGAAGGGGGCUAGCGUUGCUCGGAAUUACUGGGCGUAAAGGGAGCGUAGGCGGAUCGUUAAGUUGGGGGUGAAAGCCCGGGGCUCAACCUCGGAAUUGCCUUCAAUACUGGCGAUCUUGAGUAUGGGAGAGGUGUGUGGAACUCCGAGUGUAGAGGUGAAAUUCGUAGAUAUUCGGAAGAACACCAGUGGCGAAGGCGACACACUGGCCCAUUACUGACGCUGAGGCUCGAAAGCGUGGGGAGCAAACAGGAUUAGAUACCCUGGUAGUCCACGCCGUAAACGAUGAGUGCUAG
rnacentral:rRNA from 1 species